rnacentral:rRNA from 1 species
CCUACGGGAGGCAGCAGUGGGGGAUAUUGCACAAUGGGGGAAACCCUGAUGCAGCGACGCCGCGUGUGGGAAGACGGUCCUCUGGAUUGUAAACCACUGUCCCCAGGGACGAAGAUGACGGUACCUGGGGAGGAAGCUCCGGCUAACUACGUGCCAGCAGCCGCGGUAAUACGUAGGGAGCGAGCGUUGUCCGGAAUUACUGGGUGUAAAGGGAGCGUAGGCGGGCGAGAAAGUUGAAUGUUAAAUCUACCGGCUUAACUGGUAGCUGCGUUCAAAACUUCUUGUCUUGAGUGAAGUAGAGGCAGGCGGAAUUCCUAGUGUAGCGGUGAAAUGCGUAGAUAUUAGGAGGAACACCAGUGGCGAAGGCGGCCUGCUGGGCUUUAACUGACGCUGAGGCUCGAAAGCGUGGGGAGCAAACAGGAUUAGAUACCCUUGUAGUC